CCACACCUAAAAACUCUCCACGUGAACUGUUUGUAUCAGAUUAGCGCCAAGAUUUUCGUGCGUGUUUGUGGUAUCACUAUGUAUUCGUACGUGGUGUUAGCAAGCAUUGUAUGGAGCUUGGCUGAUCGAAGGUCGGUGCGCACCUUGUGUGUGUAUUGGCUGAUUAACCUUUUAAACCCUUUCAAUAAAUACUGAUUAUACUGUAAGGACGAAAGUCUUUGCUUUUAUCUAGAUAACAACUUUCAGCAGUGGAUGUCUAGGCUCGCACAUCGAUGAAGAACGCUGCGAACUGCGAUACGUAAUGCGAAUUGCAGAAUUCAGUGAGUCAUCGAAAUUUUGAACGCAUAUUGCACUUUCGGGUUAUACCUGGAAGUAUGUCUGUAUCAGUGUCCGUACAUCAAACUUGCCUCUUUUUGUCGGUGUAGUCCGAUUGAGAGUAUGGCAGACGUGAGGUGUCUCGCGACUCGUAUAUCAUUGUGUGUGUAAAUCGUAAGAGAUACAUACAUAAGGUAGUAUAUAACUUGUUGCGAGUCCCUUUAAAACGACACGAUCUUUCUAUUUGCUUUCUAUGGAGCGUCUAUUUCGAACGCGGUGGUCCUYGGAUCGCUUGCAGUCGGCAGCGACUUCAGUGAAGACAUAGUGAAGAAACCUCUAUUCGCGGUACGUUAGGCUUCGGCUCGACAAUGUUGCGUUCUAGUGUGUGGACUCCGUUUUCGCUUUGAGGUGUACUGUUCGGUUGUGGGUUUGAGCCUUGGUAUUGCUUUGUUAGUAGAGAUAUGUCGAUAUUUCUGUAGUUUGAUUCUGCAUACACGCAAGUGUGUGUGGGUAGAGAGUAUCUAUUUGGGAAAUUUUGUACUGCGUGCGCUUUCGAGUGUGUGUAUGUAUCUCAAUUGGACCUGAUAUCAGACAAGACUACCCGCU
rnacentral:rRNA from 1 species